AAAUGCACUGAUGACAUUAUACCGCCCCAGACUGAAUAUCAUGUUGAAGGUUUGGUCUGAGCAUUU